UACGGAGGGUGCAAGCGUUAAUCGGAAUUACUGGGCGUAAAGCGUGCGCAGGCGGUUUGUUCAGUCUGUUGUGAAAUCCCCGAGCUCAACUUGGGAAUUGCAAUGGAUACUGGCAGGCUGGAGCGCGGGAGAGGAAAGCGGAAUUCCUGGUGUAGCGGUGAAAUGCGUAGAUAUCAGGAGGAACACCGGCGGUGUAGACGGCUGUCUGGAUCGUAGCUGACGCUGAGACACGAAAGCGUGGGUAGCAAACAGG
rnacentral:rRNA from 1 species